rnacentral:rRNA from 1 species
UACGUAGGGGGCAAGCGUUGUCCGGAAUCAUUGGGCGUAAAGCGCGUGUAGGCGGUUCGGUAAGUCUGCUGUGAAAGUCCAGGGCUCAACCCUGGGAUGCCGGUGGAUACUGUCGGGCUAGAGUGCGGAAGAGGCGAGUGGAAUUCCCGGUGUAGCGGUGAAAUGCGCAGAUAUCGGGAGGAACACCAAUUGCGAAGGCAGCUCGCUGGGACGUAACUGACGCUGAGGAGCGAAAGCGUGGGGAGCGAACAGG